rnacentral:misc_RNA from 1 species
AAGAGACGUUGCCCUUCGGGGGUUAUACGCACCCACCCUUUGUCUAUAGUACCUCUUGUUGCUUUGGCGGGCCCGUCCUCGGACCACGGCUUUGCCUGGGCCGCCAGAGACCUCUUAAACUCUUGUAUUAGUAAUUAUGCUCUGAGUACUAUUAAAUUAGUCA